rnacentral:rRNA from 1 species
AGUACAACUCUCAGCAAUGAAUAUCUUGGCUCUCGCAUCAAUGAAGAAUGUAGCAAAAUGUGAUAUGUGGUGCAAAUUGCAGAAUCCCACAAACCAUUGAGUCUUUGAAUGCAAGUUGUGCCCGAGGCCAUCCGACUGAGGGCAUGCCUGCUUGGGCGCCAAGA